rnacentral:lncRNA from 1 species
AUGUAUACAGUCUUUCUAAAGGAAUUAUGUGUUCAUAUAACUAUGCCAGGCCUCCUACGUUCAAAGAAAGGCCACUCAUUUUUGAACAUAUCAUCAAAAUGACUUUCUGGCCUGGCCCGCUUCAGGAUAGGGCAUCUUAUCCUGAGAGAGACAGGCGAAACCCACAAUGGCAAUUUUAUAAGGAGUGAAAUCACGCUGACAGCAGGCAGUUUCUUUCAAGCAGAAAAGCGGUGUCACACUCAAUUAGUUGGGUGAAACUGUAGAGAAGGAAACCAGGUGAAUAGCUGUGUUACGAAAUGAGUUGUUUGGUUUUUUUUUCCUUGUAGUUCAACAGAUACACCCUUGGAGAGGCUACCCUAAAGAUGUCAAUCAGAAAGCGGAAUGCAGAGAAUAUGAGGGGCUGGAGUGAAAAUGGCAAAGGAAGCAUCGAGGGAAGAGAGAGAAAUUUCUCAAUUAUGUAUUUACAGCGCGAUGGCCGCAUUUUUUAAGUAACUCCCAAAGACACAGGUAUCGUAAGAUUUACUUUACACUUUUUUUUCUAUUUCUUUAUUUGCUUCGAGGUUCCAAUCCCUUCCAGCUUGCCUUUCUUUUCUUGCUUGAUUGGAAAGAAAACAGUGGCACAUUAGAGAUGGACACCUUUGGAGGGCUGUGUAAGCGAGUGACCCUGAGAUACAGAGACCGGAGCGAGCAGAUGGUCACAUCACAGGCCGCUUUCCAGAGUGUUGAUGAAUAUAACAGGCGCUGAUUUUACUCUAUUCUGUGUUGGACUCUUAACUCUCUGAGAAAACUUUGACCUGCCUUCCAAGAAGGGCGAUAGUGUCUCGGAAGCACGGCCCUUGUGGUUUCAGGCUCCUUCUGGGCCCCGUCUCACACUGUUUGUGGUGGGGGAGGUAGGGAGGUGUCUCAAAAUCUGAUGCCUUGAACAGCUGCAUCAGAAUUGCCUGGGGAGUUUGGUUUAAAUGCAAAUUUGGGGACUUACAGCAAUUAAAAGGCAGUCUCUGGCUUUGAGCCCCAGAAUGUAGCUUUUUAACCGUCUCCUUGAUGACUUGUGUGGUUGAACAACUGCUGCUUUACCAGCACUGUUGCAUGAGUGUAAUGAUACCUCUUCAUGUUCCUGCUCUUUGCUCAUGACCAAGCUAGUAUCACUUAUUUUCUAGUUAAUGUCAUUAUGUAACUAUAAAAUUCUCCUAAUAUAACAUAUAUGAAUGUACGUGAUAUAGCUUAUAAAUAACUUUAAAAGAAAAAAAAAAAAGACUGAUAAAGGUUAAAUUCUCACAUUUCAUGAUAAACUGUGAGUAGGGUUUAAAUAUCCAACAGCAGCACUGCCCUGGGGGCGCCAACCUUAGCAUAAAACUGGAUUGACAGACCCUCCAUUAGAUACAAAGUUCUCCUUAGGAUACAAUAUUCAUUUUAUCAUCAGCUCCUUUUAGGCUGCAAAUACAAACUGGCUUAGAACCCAGUCCCCAAAAGAAUCAU